rnacentral:rRNA from 1 species
ACUCCUACGGGAGGCAGCAGUGGGGAAUAUUGCACAAUGGGGGAAACCCUGAUGCAGCCAUGCCGCGUGUGUGAAGAAGGCCUUCGGGUUGUAAAGCACUUUCAGUAGGGAGGAAGGUAGUGUAGUUAACACCUGCAUUAUUUGACGUUACCUACAGAAGAAGCACCGGCUAACUCCGUGCCAGCAGCCGCGGUAAUACGGAGGGUGCGAGCGUUAAUCGGAAUUACUGGGCGUAAAGCGCAUGCAGGCGGCCUGUUAAGUCAGAUGUGAAAGCCCGGGGGCUUAAACCUCGGAAAUUGCAUUUGAAAACUGGCAGGCUAGAGUCUUGUAGAGGGGGGUAGAAUUUCAGGUGUAGCGGUGAAAUGCGUAGAGAUCUGAAGGAAUACCAGUGGCGAAGGCGGCCCCCUGGACAAAAGACUGACGCUCAGAUGCGAAAAGCGU